rnacentral:rRNA from 1 species
AUCGAUGGGUGACCCCUUAGGAAGUCCUCGGGUUGCACCCUUUGGUGCAUCAUACCAGCCCUAAUGCACCGGAUCCCGUC